CAGGGAAUAUUGCGCAAUGGGUGAAAGCCUGACGCAGCAACGCCGCGUGGGGGAUGACGGCUUUCGAGUUGUAAACCCCUUUUCUUAGGGAAGAUAAUGACGGUACCUGAGGAAUAAGUCUCGGCUAACUACGUGCCAGCAGCCGCGGUAAGACGUAGGAGGCGAGCGUUAUCCGGAUUUACUGGGCGUAAAGGGCGUGUAGGCGGUUCUCCAAGUCUCUGGUGAAAUCUCCCGGCUUAACUGGGAGGCUGCCAGAGAAACUAGGGAACUUGAGGACAGAAUAGGGGAGUGGAAUUCCCGGUGUAGUGGUGAUAUGCGUAGAGAUCGGGAGGAACACCAGUGGCGAAAGCGGCUCCCUGGUCUGCACCUGACGCUGAGGCGCGAAAGCGUGGGGAGCAAACAGG
rnacentral:rRNA from 1 species